GGGGCACCUAACUCAGUCAUACUAAUUUUUAGUUAGUAUGGGUCAACCCUAAUCAUUAAGUGAUCUGAUCAAAACAUGAUUCACCACUUUGGCUAGGUAAGUGAGAUCGAUGGAAGGGAUAUGCUAUUAACUCAUCGUAGACUCAAUCUAUGCGAGUAGCUUCCAAUUAAUGACCAUCGAUCAAGAUUGCCAUACUUAUGUUAGACACCAACUGGUUAGUUAGUU
rnacentral:lncRNA from 1 species